CUGGGGCUCCUGGGCGUCACACCCACUUUCCUUAUUAGGGCAGAGUCAGGCGCCCCGAGCCGGCAGCCGGGCGCGGGGUGGGGCGGGAGCCCUGCGAGGCGACAGACGAGGGCGCAGCCACAACCUCAGCCGCCUCCGAGCGGUAGGAGGGAGCAGCCGGUCGCUGAGUCCGGGCCGGCCCCUUUCCGGGGACCCGGCACGUCUCGCCCCGGAGGAGAUAGUCCUCCGCGCUCUCCGGGUACCUCUGGUCCAAACCACUCGGAACGACAUGGAAGAAUUUUUGCAACGCGCCAAGUCUAAACUGAAUCGAAGCAAACGCUUGGAGAAGGUCCAUGUGGUUAUUGGACAUAAAUCGUGUGACCUGGAUUCUCUCAUUUCUGCCUUCACAUAUGCUUACUUUCUAGACAAGGUCAGCUCACCUGAGGUUCUCUGUUUGCCCGUGCUGAACAUAUCAAGAACUGAAUUCAGCUACUUCACCGAGACAAGGUUUAUUUUAGAAGAGCUAAAUAUCUCUGAAUCAUUCCACAUAUUCCGAGAUGAAAUUAAUCUGCAUCAGCUAAAUGAUGAAGGGAAGUUAUCUCUAACACUUGUUGGCAGCAACAUGCUGGCAAGUGAGGACAAAACUUUAGAAUCAGCAGUCGUCAAGGUCAUUAAUCCAGUUGAGCAGGGCGAUGCUGGGUUUGAGUACCGAGAGUCUUCCUCCUCUCUGGUGGUGAAAGAGAUUCUCCAGGAGGCUCCCGAGCUCAUCACCGAGCAGCUGGCUCAUCUGCUCAGAGGUAGCAUCCUUUUCAAGUGGAUGGCCAUGGAACCCAAGAAGAUCUCAGAGAAGCAGGAGGAAAUUCUUUCUAUCCUGGAAGAAAAAUUUCCUCGCUUACCUCCAAGAGAUGACAUUAUCAACGUCCUGCAGGAGACCCAAUUCAGUGCUCAGGGUUUAAGUAUUGAACAGACAAUGCUGAAGAAUCUGAAGGAACUUUCAGAUGGAGAAAUAAAAGUGGCCAUUAGUAGCGUGAACAUGACCCUGGAGGACUGUACGUUUCACAGCAGUAUCACCAGUGAUUUGAAAGCAUUCUCAGACAAGUUCGGUUUUGACGUCCUCAUCCUCUUGGCCAACUACCUGUCAGAGGAGCAGCAGCCCAGACGACAGAUUGCUGUGUACUCUGAGAACCUAGAGCUGUGCAGUCAGAUUUGCUGUGAACUGGAAGAGUGCCAGAACCCUCACCUGGAGCUGGAGCCCUUUGAAUGUGGCUGCGAUGAGAUUCUGGUGUAUCAGCAGGAGAACCCUUCAGUGACUUGUGAUCACGUGGUUCUCCUGGUCAAGGAAGUCAUCAAUAGGAGGUGUCCAGAGAUGGCCUCUAACAGCCGGACAUCCUCCACAGAAGCAGUGGCAGGCAGCGCCCCGCUCUCCCAGGGGUCUUCCGGGAUUAUGGAGUUGUAUGGUUCUGACAUAGAGCCACAGCCCAGCUCCGUGAAUUUCAUGGAAAACCCUCCCGAUCUCAGUGAUUCUAACCAGGCCCAGGUGGAUGUCAACGUGGACCUUGUUAGCCCGGAUAGCGGGUUGGCCACCAUUAGGAGCAGCCGCUCAUCCAAGGAGAGUUCAGUUUUCCUCAGUGAUGACAGUCCAGUGGGAGAAGGUGCUGGGCCUCACCACAGCCUCCUCCCAGGAUUUGACUCUUACAGUCCCAUCCCUGAAGGGGCAGUAGCGGAGGAGCAUGCCCCGUCUGGAGAACACGGUGAAUCCUUUGACCUUUUCAACUUUGACCCAGUACCCAUGGUUUCUGGGCAGUCCCAACCAUCUUCCCAUUCUGCAGACUACUCCCCAACAGAUGACUUCUUCCCCAACAGCGAUUCAUCAGAAGGACAGCUCACCACGGGGCCUAAAAGACUUGAUGGGAUAGGGAUGGACGUGUCGAAUUAUUCAUCCAGUUCUCUUUUGUCAGGGACUGGCAAAGAUAGCCUUGUGGAAUUUGAUGAGGAGUUUGUCCAGAGACAAGAAAGUCCCCGUGAUAAUUCUGAAAGAAAUUUGAGCCUGACAGGGUUUGUGGAAGAUGAAUCUCCUUCACCAGAAAGUCUGAAAAAUGUUGGAAGGAGGGUCCCACCAACACCUAUGAAUAGCUUUGUGGAAAUCUCACCAUCCACUGAAGAACCAGCUGUACUCUCUUCAGAAGAUAUGACCCCCAAAACAGUCAACACGGGUCACACUGGGCCACCUCCAACCCAGGCACGGUGCAGCAGCUGGUGGGGUGGUUUGGAAAUUGAGUCUAGAAACACUGCAGAUGCAUGGAGUUCCAGUGAACAGGAAUCUGUCUUCCAGAGCCCCGAGUCAUGGAAAGAUCAUAAGCCAAGCCCAGUUGAUAGGAGAGCCUCAGGUUCUAUAUUUCAACCCAAGACUCUCGACUUCCCCAAGUCAAGUCCCUGGGAGUCAGAAUUUGGUCAGCCUGAGCUGGGCAGCAAUAAUAUUCAAGACCAAAAUGAGAAAAAAUUGCAGUUUCGGGGUAUGUCCCCUGAAAAUUCGCAUUUGCCGAAUCCUUUUCCUCAGGGAACAAACCACCUGAUAGAAGACUUUGCUGCUUUGUGGCGUUCUGAUCGCUCACCCACAGCCAUGCCUGAGCCAUGGGGAAAUCCCACGGAUGACGGGGAACCAGCUGCUGCAGCGUCAUUCCCAGCCUGGAGAGAAGACGCCGAAGCUUUGAAAAAUACCUGGAAUCUGCACCCGAUGAGUGGUGAGACACCUUCUGUGAGGGACCCAAACGAGUGGGCCAUGGCAAAAAGCGGGUUUUCUUUCCCUUCAGAAGACCUCAUAGACAGUUUGCCCAGUGAUGCAAAUAGUGAAGCAGUUCCAGAAAUCUGGGGCAAGAAGAACCAUGACUCCGAGGAUGAUAUUCUUGUAUCUGGAAGUCCCAGAUCUGAUCUGGAUCAUGCAUGGAAUAGUUCUAAGCCAGUAAAGGAUGAUCAGAAUGGUUUCGUGGAUCCAAAAAUUAGGGGGAAGGUGUACAAAAAUGUAGAUUCCUGGAACCUUUUUGAGGAGGGUAACAAGAAAGGAGGGUCAGAUGUCCUAGCGCCUUGGGAAGAUUCCUUCUUAUCCUAUAAAUGUUCCGAUUACAGUGCAUCCAACAUAGGGGAAGAUUCGGUGCCAUCCCCCUUGGAUACCAACUACUCUACCUCUGACUCUUGUACUUCACCAACAUUUGCUGGAGACGAAAAAGAAGCCAAAGACAAGCCAUUUGCUAAAGAGGCAGGUUUCGAGUCACGAGAUGCUAACUGUACCUCAGGGGAUGCUGACGUGCCUUCUCAGUCCCCAGAGCAGCCACCUAGAAACAGAAUUAGUUCAGGUCCUAGGAACCUGAAAAUGUGGGCUUCACCUCACGCAGAUGGUAGCUCUGAAAUAAAUGCCACUCACAGCCCAGAUAAAGAUUUACUCGAGGCAGAGCCCACAGAUGAUCAAAACACCUCCGUGGAGGAUGACAUUGGGGAAAGCAGCCAGUCCAGCUACGAUGACCCCAGCAUGAUGCAGCUGUACAAUGAAACAAACCGACGGCUCACACUUCUGCACAGCAGCGCUAACUCCUGCCAGGCGGCCCCCGACAGUCUAGACUUGUGGAACAGAGUGAUUCUGGAGGACACUCAGUCUACUGCGACCAUCUCGGAUAUGGACAACGACUUGGACUGGGACGACUGCAGUGCAGCUGUGGCCAUCACCGGUGAAGGUCAGGCACAAGGGUACAUGGCUGAAGGUUCUGAACCUGAAACCCGAUUUUCAGUGAGACAGGUAGAACCCUGGAGCGUGGAGUAUCAGGAAACAAAUCAGGUAGAUUGGGAACUCCCUGCCUCUUCUGAGCACAGCUUGGACACUGCUCCCAACGAAUAUCACAUGCUGAAUGAAAAAAGCGGGCAGCUGAUCGCGAAUAGUAUUUGGGAUUCCGUUAUGAGAGAUGACGCCGUGUCAUCAUUAAUGUCACCCGGCCCACCGUAUGUUACAGAUCCAGAACAAAGCAAAUCACCUCCUGAAACUUCCAGCUCAUUAGCAAAAAUUCAAGACAGUCGCAUCUCAGACAUGCUGGAAGCCUCUGGAGCCAGUGAGUCAGAAACACUUGAUCCUGACAAGCAGGACACAUGCAGGAGAACCCCACCAAGUGAUAUGGCGUAUUUGGUGACCCGACUUGAGAAUUCAGGGCAUUUUGCAUGCUCAGAUCCCUGGAGGGGUCCCAGUUAUGGACAAAAGGAAAGUGAGAAGGAAUCCCAUCGAGCCGCUGAUAGGGAGUGCCCCAGUGAGGCGGAGCUGAUGGAUGGAACCUCAGGGGCUUCUAGAAAAGGGCAAGGUGGCCAGGAAUGCCCUUCCCCAGAUACAUCUGAUCAUCCAGAAAUCUCCAAUGAAUCAGGCAAAAUCAGCUCUCUUUCAGUCACUUCCAGUCCUCAAACUGAGGAACCCCAGGAAGUAUUAGAGCAUGAGAAGGGGUCUUACACUCCAGACCCCUGUGAUGUGCAAACAGAAGUGUCCACAGAUCACCUGCAGGCAAAAGAGACCUGUGAAGAGCACCUCAUGAGUCACAGAAAUUCAGGUGAAACUACUGAAAUUUCAGGUAGGCUGAAUUCCACAAUAAGUGUAUCUCUACCUGAAAUGGAUGUGGAGGAAGCUGAAGAAUGUAACAUUCUGGAACCGGAGAGAAUGAACCAAGACCUACCUUAUGGACGUCGCCAAGGACUUGACGUUUGGGAUGGCCCUAAAGACAGUGAUGUGCAAGUCACCUGCACAAGUUCUGAAAUAACUAAGAAUCUCGAAGUUAAGAAUACUGAAAACAGCCCUCCAGGAGCCAAUUUAUCUGGAAAUGAUGACAGAGACAGCAUUUCUAGUGAGUAUACACAUUCAAGUGCAUCCAGUCCUGACCUAAAUGACUCUUCGGCUGCAUUGCCUUCCUGGGACCAAGGACCCAAUACUGGACAUCAGAAGGAAAACCAAGAUGAUUGGAAUACACAGAAUUACCAAGCAUCUGAACUAAUUACUACUGAUGGUCAAGUAGAAGUGAUUACCGAAAUGAAGGGUUUGGAGAAAAACAGAAUGGACAAGUUUGAAAAGAGCUUAGAUCACAAUGCCCCUAACUAUUUAGAGAUUUGGAAUGACUCAAUAGAUGGUGAUUCCUUUUCCUCUUUGUCUAGCCCUGAAACAGGCAAAUAUUCUGAAUAUUUAGAUGUAUAUCAGGAAGGAAAUCUAGUGGUUAGCCAUCAGGAAAAAAGUGAAUGUGAUAUUCCUGAAACUGUGCAGCAAGAGGACGCCAAGUUCAUGUCAACAAACUCGGGUUCUGAUGAUGAUAGUGUUGGCGAUGAAGAGUCAGUGGAGAAAGAGAUCCACUCAGCCACUUGCCGGGAUGCUCAGAGUGAACUCAGAGCUUGGGAUUCAUUGAAUGAAUCUAAUAAGUCCUUGGCCACAGCUGAUCCCAAGUCUGAGGAAUGUUCUGCCUAUAUAGGCAGUCCAGAACCAGCAGAGAAUGAGAAUAAGUCAAACCCAUUCUGCGACAAUCAACAAAGCAGCCCUGAUCGUUGGAAUUUCUUGUCACUAAAGGAGACUGAAAUACAGGUUACAGCAGUAGAGAAGGAGACGAGGUCUUCUCCAGAAACAGGCAGGACGGGAGAUGUCAUGUGGCAAAUAGCUCCCAAAGCUGAACUAAAGAAUGAAAAUGAUUCUAACCUGGAAAUGGCUGGCUUCUCAGCUGAGAGCACGGAGUGGUGGAACGCCUCCCUACAGGAAGGGCGACCAACUGAGAGGGCAUCUGAAGGGGCAUUAUCUAACUCAAGUGCUGUGCUAGGGAUGAAUUCCUCACCACGCCAAAACGUGGAUCCCUGGGGAGUACCCAUUCAGGGUGAUACCGAAUCCCUGGAAACAUGCUGUACCAAUCCUUUCAGUGAUCAACAUGAGUCACACUUUCUGGAUAAUAAUGGGGAGAAUGCCCACGAGCAACUUUGGAACAUUCAACCAAGGCAGCCAGACCCAGAAGCUGGUCAGCUUAGCCAGCUUGCAAUACUGGACCAAGUUAAAGACAAGGAUUCCAGAGAACAGACCGUGCCUUCUGCCAGUGACAAACUCACCACUGAAAUACCUACCCAAGAGCAGUGUCAGAAUACAGCGCUGUCUGUCUGGAAUCAGCCAGACCCAACAUUUACUCACACAGAUGAAGAUGGAUGCAUUAUAUCGAAUGUAUCAACUCCUGAGCGUCAAGAAACAAAUUGGUGGGAAAAAGAAAAAUCACACCCCGGUGAAAUGACAGAUUCAAGCAUUGCCUCUGAAGAUUUCCCUGCUGUCAGUUCUUCCACCCAAUUGAUAAAGAAGUCAGGCUCUGAAUGGGACGAUUCUACCCCUAGUGAGGGCCCCCAAGGUGCCUUUGUUCCAGAUAUUUUACACGGCAACUUCCAAGAGGGUGGGCAGCUGGCCUCCGCUUCACCCGACUUGUGGAUGGAUGUGAAACAACCCUUCGGUGUGAAGACAGAUGGUGAGAAUCCUGAUAUACUGACUCACUGUGACCACAGCAGCAAUUCCCAGGCUUCCAACAGCCCUGAUGUAUGUCAUGAUUAUGAAGCAGAGCCAGAGACUAAGCAGGACAUCAGUGCUGGGAUGGGACCUGAAGGGGAAUCCAGUGAGUUACAUCCCACCAAACCAGAGAGAGAUGAAGAACCCAGUCAGGAGCCAGCGCAGGAAUUUGUCCCGUAUACUUCAGAACUAUCUUCUGAAAACACAGUUCCGCUGCCUCGAAUCAGCGAGCAGGCAAACACAAAUAACUCAUCUCAACCUGCCUCUCACAAAGGUUCUCCUGAACCUUCUGAAAUAAACAAAUGCGAAAACAUUACAGGUUUAAAAGCGUCAGAAAAGGGAGUCAACCCAGAUACAGCACCAAUUUUGGAACCCACUGACAGAACAAUCCCAGUGAUUGAAAACGUGGGAACUGAUAUUUGUGUGAGUCACCCAGAGCCAACUGUGGAUAGCAACAGCUCUUGGAUAUCAGAAGACUUUUCUCCUGAGAGCCAGACCGAUGCAGGGGGCCCGUCGGACCGUGAGCAAGCUUUUGCUACUGAGAAUCCUGCCACAGUUCCUGAUACUUUGCUAGCCUCGGACACUUGUCUGGAUGUCAGCGAAGCUGCCUUUGACCACAGUUUCAGCGAUGCCUCGGGUCUCAAUUCAUCCACGGGAACAAUAGAUGACGUGAGUAAACUGACAUUAUCGGAAGGAAAUCCUGAAAUGCCAUUUGAAGGGGAGGCAGGGCAGCAAGAUAUCUGUUCCUCUGAAGCCUCGUGGGGUGAUUCUGAGUAUGAAGUCAUGGGCCAAAAUAUUGAUGAAGAUUUAAUGAAAGAGCCUGAACACUUCGUCUAUGGCGGUGACCCUCCCUUGGAAGAUGCCCUGAAGCAAGAGCUGGCACCUUACACACCUCCAUUUGAUUUGUCCUAUCUCACGGAACCUACUCCUGGUGUCGAAACCACAGAGGAAGCUGGGACUCCAGAGAAUGAGCCUCUGGGGAGCGAAGCCGCAGAGAUAUUGCUUUCUGCCCUUCCUGAUGAAAGAAACAAGGAAAACCACGCUGAGGCCACAGACAGACAACCUGAAUGCCAGCUGGUUGAGCUGCAUGUUCACGAAGACCCUGAGUCAGUUUCUUUGACCGUCAGAGUCGACGCCAACAUUGAGCUGUCUCCAUCAAACGUUGACUGGGAAGUAGAAACAGAUCAUUCAGAUUCACCAGCAGGUGGAGACAUAGGACCACCAAAUGGUGCCAGCAAGGGGAUAUUAGAGUUGGAAGAAGAAAAAAUAAUUCCUACCAAAGAGCCUGAGCAGAUAAAAUCAGAAUACGGGGAAGAAAGGUACACUGAGAAGUAUGAAGAUCAUCAUGCACUACACAUGGAUUACAUACUUGUAAAGCACGAAGAAAAUUCACCCCCAGAGCCAGAGGCCUGUGAGGCAAGAGAAAUCACGUCAGAAUUAGAAGAGUUUCACAUAGAUUCCGAAGAAACGGGGCUGCCAGGAGGAACUCAGUUAGCAUGCUUCCCAGACAUACAUCAACCUGCUUCCUUAAAUGAAAGAAAUCAUCUUUCUGCAGAGAGAAUGUCUUCUAAAGAUCGUAAGAGAUCAUCUUUUGAAAGCCCUAGGCAAGACCAGAGUUGGAUGGCCUUGGGCUGCAGUGAGGUUGGUGAUCCAUCAUCGGAGACUAGGGACUCAGGGCCUGGAUGGUCUGGCGAGGCUGUGGAGCCAGCCUCUGACCACAGCUUGGGUAAGGGCCCUCAAAUGCACAUUCUGGGAGAAAUGAAGCCUCCAGAAUCUUCAGCACUAGAGGAAGCCUCUGGCCAGGACAGCCAGUCAUGGAAGAGCAUGAACCAAGGCAGGGCUGGCCCCGAGACACUUCUGUUGCAGGCUGUCCCCCAUGACAAUGAAUGGGAAAUGCUUUCACCACAGUCUUCUCAGAAAAACAUCACCCCUGAAACGGAAAUGGAGGAGGAGACAGAGUUUCUUGAGCCCAGAACAAGGAAACCAAGAACAAAAGGACUACUGUCAGAGGAUGUGGGAAUGGACAUCCCCUUUGAGGAGCGAAUGCUGAGUCCCAGUGCUGCAGACAUGAGGCCUGAACCUCCUAAUUCUCUGGAUCUUAAUGGCAGUCAUCCUCAGAGAAUCAAACUCACAGCCCCAAAUAUCAAUCUGUCUCUGGAUCAAAGUGAAGGGUCUGUUCUCUCUGAUGAUAACUUGGACAGUCCAGAUGAAAUUGAUAUCAAUGUGGACGAACUCGAUACCCCUGAUGAAGCAGAUUCUUUUGAGUACACUGGGCAUGAGGAUCACACAGCCAACAAAGAUUCUGGCCAAGAGUCAGAGUCUAUUCCAGAAUAUACGGCAGAAGAGGAGCGAGAGGACAACCGGCUGUGGAGGACCGUGGUGAUUGGAGAACAGGAGCAGCGGAUUGACAUGAAGGUCAUCGAGCCCUACAGGAGAGUCAUUUCUCAUGGAGGAUACUACGGGGAUGGCCUAAAUGCCAUCAUUGUGUUUGCUGCCUGUUUUCUGCCAGACAGCAGUCGGGCAGAUUACCACUAUGUCAUGGAAAAUCUUUUCCUAUAUGUAAUAAGUACAUUAGAGUUGAUGGUAGCUGAAGACUAUAUGAUUGUGUACCUGAAUGGUGCAACCCCAAGACGGAAGAUGCCAGGGCUAGGCUGGAUGAAGAAAUGCUACCAGAUGAUUGACAGACGGUUGCGGAAGAACUUAAAAUCAUUCAUCAUUGUUCAUCCAUCUUGGUUCAUCAGAACAAUCCUUGCAAUUACACGACCUUUUAUAAGUUCAAAGUUCAGCAGUAAAAUUAAAUACGUCAGUAGCUUAUCAGAACUCAGUGGGCUGAUCCCAAUGGAUUGCAUCCAUAUUCCAGAGAGCAUCAUCAAUAAACCUCCGUUUACAGAUAAGGAAGACAACUUAGGAAGGGGACGUUACUUAUGCAAAGUAUAAGUAGGAACAAGGAAGAGAUGGAACAAGAAUUCAAAUCCAGGUCAGCCUGGCACCACAAUGCCCGUGCCCUUUUCUAGCAGAUUUCUUUACCUCCCUUAAAAAAACCAUCUAAAGUCAAAGCUCAGAAGCAGCUGCAUUUGGUUUUCCGGCAUUCCAAUAUCAGGUAAGAACAGAGGAUAGCGAUUGGGUUGAGAACUGCCAGUUAGCUCAGCUGAAUCAAGCAGAGUGUUCAUAAGCUCCUAAUGGUGGCUUUAAUCCUCACUAGCUUCAGAGAGUCCCGAAACCAGCACACCUUCUAGCUCUAGCCUGCUGCCUCAAAAAAGGGACCCCCAUCUCCAAAACCCACUCCUAGUCUUUAAAUGUAAAAGUACUGGAGCACCCACCUCCUAUAAUGCUGUCUCCCUUUGCAAAAGAUGACAAGGACCUUCCCUCGUCAAGUGGAAAUGAGCACUGGACAUUUUCUAGGUAAACAUGGCAGUGCUUCCCCGGUGUGGCAAGUGGAAAAAGAGAAGAGUGGGCUUUGGAGGCUUAGCAUUAGGUUUGAACCUUCCCACCUGCCUCUCUGAGACUUCAGGAAACCUAUUUAAAACACCGAGUCAGGGCUUCCCUGGUGGCGCAGUGGUUAAGAAUCCGCCUGCCAAUGCAGGGGACACGGGUUCGAGCCCUGGUCCGGGAAGAUCCCACAUUCGCGGAGCAACUAAGCCCGUGCGCCACAACUACUGAGCCUGCACUCUAGAGCCCACGAGACACAACUACUGAAGCCUGUGCACCUAGAGCCCGUGCUCUGCAACGAGAAGCCACUGCAAUGAGAAGCCCACACACAGCAACGAAGAAGUGGCCCCCGCUCACUGCAACUAAAGAAAGCCCGUGCGCAGCAACAAAGACCCAACACAGC